rnacentral:tRNA from 1 species
GCACCUGUAGCUCAAUUGGAUAGAGCAUCGGUCUACGGAACCGAAGGUUACUGGUUCGAAUCCAGUCAGGUGUA